rnacentral:rRNA from 1 species
GACGAACGCUGGCGGCGUGCUUAACACAUGCAAGUCGAACGGAAAGGCCCUGCUUGCAGGGUACUCGAGUGGCGAACGGGUGAGUAACACGUGGGUGAUCUGCCCUGCACUUCGGGAUAAGCUUGGGAAACUGGGUCUAAUACCGGAUAGGAGCCAUCUUUAGUGUGGUGGUUGGAAAGUUUUUUCGGUGUAGGAUGAGCUCGCGGCCUAUCAGCUUGUUGGUGGGGUAAUGGCCUACCAAGGCGGCGACGGGUAGCCGGCCUGAGAGGGUGUACGGCCACAUUGGGACUGAGAAACGGCCCAGACUCCUACGGGGGGCAGCAGUGGGGAAUAUUGCACAAUGGGCGCAAGCCUGAUGCAGCGACGCCGCGUGGGGGAUGAAGGCCUUCGGGUUGUAAACUCCUUUCGCUAGGGACGAAGCUUUGUUGUGACGGUACCUAGAUAAGAAGCACCGGCUAACUACGUG